AUUGAACGCUGGCGGCAGGCCUAACACAUGCAAGUCGAGCGGAUGAAGGGAGCUUGCUCCUGGAUUCAGCGGCGGACGGGUGAGUAAUGCCUAGGAAUCUGCCUGGUAGUGGGGGAUAACGUCCGGAAACGGGCGCUAAUACCGCAUACGUCCUGAGGGAGAAAGUGGGGGAUCUUCGGACCUCACGCUAUCAGAUGAGCCUAGGUCGGAUUAGCUAGUUGGUGGGGUAAAGGCCUACCAAGGCGACGAUCCGUAACUGGUCUGAGAGGAUGAUCAGUCAAAAUGGGAACGGAGACACGGCCAGACUCCUACGGGAGGCAGCAGUGGGGAAUAUUGGACAAUGGGCGAAAGCCUGAUCCAGCCAUGCCGCGUGUGUGAAGAAGGUCUUCGGAUUGUAAAGCACUUUAAGUUGGGAGGAAGGGCAGUAAGUUAAUACCUUGCUGUUUUGACGUUACCAACAGAAUAAGCACCGGCUAACUUCGUG
rnacentral:rRNA from 1 species